AGCAGCCGCGGUAAUUCCAGCUCCAAUAGCGUAUAUUAAAGUUGUUGCAGUUAAAAAGCUCGUAGUUGAAUUUCGGGAUCAAUUUGCUGGUCGUGCCUCCGGUACGUACUGGUAUUUAUUGGUUUCUCCCUUCUGACUAACCAUGAUGUCAUUCAUUUGGUGUUGUGGGGAAUCAGGACUGUUACUUUGAAAAAAUUAGAGUGUUUAAAGCAGGCAUAAGCUUGAAUACAUUAGCAUGGAAUAAUGAAAUAGGACGUUUGAUCCUAUUUUGUUGGUUUCUAGGAUCGACGUAAUGAUUAAUAGGGAUAGUUGGGGGCAUUAGUAUUCAAUUGUCAGAGGUGAAAUUCUUGGAUUUAUUGAAGACUAACUACUGCGAAAGCAUUUGCCAAGGAUGUUUUCAUUAAUCAAGAACGAAAGUUAGGGGAUCGAAGACGAUCAGAUACCGUCGUAGUCUUAACCAUAAACUAUGCCGACUAGGGAUCGGAUGAUGUUAAUUUUUUAAUGA
rnacentral:rRNA from 1 species